rnacentral:rRNA from 1 species
AACCUCCGCAAUGUGAGAAAUCGCGACGGGGGGAUCCCAAGUGCCAUUCUUAACGGGAUGGCUUUUCAUUAGUGUAAAGAGCUUUUGGAAUAAGGGCUGGGCAAGACCGGUGCCAGCCGCCGCGGUAACACCGGCAGCUCUAGUGGUAACAAUUUUUAUUGGGCCUAAAGCGUCCGUAGCCGGUUUAAUAAGUCUCUGGUGAAAUCCUGUAGCUUAACUGUGGGAAUUGCUGGAGAUACUAUUAGACUUGAGACCGGGAGAGGUUAGAGGUACUCCCAGGGUAGAGGUGAAAUUCUGUAAUCCUGGGAGGACCGCCUGUUGCGAAGGCGUCUAACUGGAACGGUUCUGACGGUGAGGGACGAAAGUUAGGGGCGCGAACCGGAUUAGAUACCCGGGUAGUCCUAACCGUAAACGAUGCGGACUUGGUGUUGGGGUGGCUUUGAGCUGCUCCAGUGCCGAAGGGAAGCUGUUAAGUCCGCCGCCUGGGAAGUACGGUCGCAAGACUGAAACUUAAAGGAAGU